ensembl:lncRNA
UUGAGCUGUGGUGGGUUAUUAGUAUUGUUGAGCUGUGGCGGGUUAUUAGUAUUGUUGAGCUGUGGUGGGUUAUUAGUGUUGUUGAGCUGUGGCGGGUUAUUAGUAUUGUUGAGCUGUGGCGGGUUAUUAGUGUUGUUUGAGCUGUGUCGGGUUAUUAGUGUUGUUGAGCUGUGGCGGGUUAUUAGCGUUGUUGAGCUGUGGUGUGUUGUUGAGCUGUUAUUAGCGUUGUUGAGCGGUGGUGGGUUAUUAGUGUUAUUGAGCUGUUAUUAGCGUUGUUGGUGUGUUAUUAGUGUUGUUGAGCUGUGGUGGGUUAUUAGUGUUGUUGAGCUGUGGUGGGUCAUUAGUGUUGUUCAGCUGUGGUGUGUUAUUAGUGUUGUUGAG